rnacentral:rRNA from 1 species
UAAGGAAUAUUGGACAAUGGACGCAAGUCUGAUCCAGCCAUGCCGCGUGAAGGAUGAAUGCCCUCUGGGUUGUAAACUUCUUUUAUAGGGGAAGAAAGAUACUUUUUUUAAGGUAGUUGACGGUACCCUAUGAAUAAGCACAGGCUAACUCUGUGCCAGCAGCCGCGGUAAUACGGAGGGUGCAAGCGUUAUCCGGAUUUACUGGGUUUAAAGGGUGCGUAGGCGGGCAUGUAAGUCAGUGGUGAAAUACCGGAGCUUAACUUCGGAACUGCCAUUGAUACUAUAUGUCUUGAAUAUUGUGGAGGUUAGCGGAAUAUGUCAUGUAGCGGUGAAAUGCAUAGAUAUGACAUAGAACACCGAUUGCGGAGGCAGCUUGCUACGCAAAUAUUGACGCUGAGGCACGAAAGCGUGGGGAUCAAACA